AACUUGGACAUGGACUGCUCUGAAUCGUGCUGAUUAGCUCUGAUAAGUAUUUAUAAUACAGUUGUGAUGAUAAGAACGCCGGGAGAUAAUGCUAAAAGAGAAAUUAACGCAGUUAUCGAUUUUAAUUACUUCCAGCUAUAAGAAUCUUUAUAAAAUAACAAUCGGAAGCAAAAUGCAAACCUCCAUGAAGUAAAAGAAUGCUGUCUCAUUAUACAAUAUAUCUACUAACUGUACAUUGCCACUGUUUACAAUUUACAUGAUGCAGAUUUACAAGACAGAGUCAAUUUCUAAACGUGUGUUAACCGAACAAUGUUAACGAUGCCUAUUUGAAUGAUGACGUGAUCGGUAGGCAUGCGAAAAUUCUUGAUGACUGAAGCAAGCAAGUAAAUGUAUCAUUGAUUUCUUUCUCUCUCUCUCUUAUUGCGUAUAUACAUAUAAAGUAUAUAUAUAUAUAUAUAUAUAUUUGUGUGUGUGUGUGUGUACAUCUACGAGACGUGCGUCUUGAAAGCUGAUUGUCAAGGUAGAACGCGUAGAAUGCGAGAGGGCAACGGCCGGGCAUCGUACUCUUGGCGGAGCCCAAUCGUGAAGCGAUGCGAAGCGACGGGAAAGCACUUUAAGAGGUGACGGAGAAGCUGUCUCCAUACUGUGCGUAUACCGGUUUGUCCACGUGAAUGUGGACAAACUUAUGUCCGUCUAUACGGACUAUAAACCGGCCCGUUCGGAAGGCCGAUGUAAGUUCCCAUGUGUCGGAUCCCCGCCGUAAGCAAGCGCCGGUCUUAACGGGUCCGUAGCUUCCGUCGUUGUGCAUUUUUCAAUUGCCCCGCGUGAGGAUCGAUCGCGAGAAAUCACGACGAUGAUGACAAUCGUCAUGCUCGCUCUACUCGUUAUCGUAGUUAGUUAUUACAUCGUCGCGGCGACGCCCGUGCAGACCAAGGUUUACGAUCAACGGCAGACAGGUGAUCUGAACGUCCAGGUAGAUCUGAAGGACGUGCACGUUGUCGCGCUGAUCAACUCCGAGCUCUUGGAGGAUUACAUGGAUUACGAUUACUUCUACGACUACGCCGACUUUACCAUCAAACCAUCGAAUAACGACAAACCCGGCGCGAAUUUCACAACCACCGAAAAAAAUGAUAUUACGGAAAUUUCCGAGCUUUUUUCGUUUUCGAAAAAUUCAACCGUUUCAAUAUCUCCGGAUACCACAAAUUCGACCGAGCGAUUUAUAGCGGACGCUGCGAGCUCGACAUCAAACGCAAAUAAUAAUAAUAAUAAAGAUUGGUUGAGUGAAGAGAAUAACAAUCAGUCUUCAGCAGUAGUUGUCGUUUCCUCGAACAUGGCAAAACCCACACAAGUGCGAUCGCAAAAGCGUUGUAAAUCUGGAUACAUCCCUACCGGCAACGGACAGUGUCGACGAGCGAGUCGACCAUUGUCGUGGUUGUUACCAGGACAUCGUAUAAUAAGGCGUUCCGGAAAUCGUUGGAAACGAAGAUCGUUUCCAGAAGCAAGCGGUGGGGUGUGAUUCUCAGCGCAGAGGCGGAAGCGCGAUGAAGAGAAAGAGAGAGCAAGGGCAAGGUUACGGUAAUAGGCGCCAGGCCGCAAAAGAUCGGGGAAACGAACUCAUCGCAAACGGCCACGGUAGGACAUUGCCCUUUACAAAGAUCGGUUACUACGGAUGUGUGCACACUUGUAUACACUCGUGUCGUCGCGCAAUAACUAUUGCGUUCUGUCUUUAACGUCUCAUCGUGUUCUCCGUCUCUCUUCUCCUGUUGCUCUUUUCUCUCGAAAUAAAACUGGUUAUCGCAACGGAAUAAACACACAAUACACUUCGCUGUUUUUCGUUUCCAGAACCGACCGGAGGAAGCCUCGAAGGUUCGGAUCGCUCAGGUGGGGGAUCGGAAUCGUCUGCUGGAAUACGAGACAUCGCCCGAUCGUCACACCUCGGGCAUCCUCCGUGUCGUCCGGACACGUCCCACGUUCUUCAACGUCGUUUCCCUCCGCCCUCCACUGAAGUGAUCGGUUCGACAAAUAACCGAACGAGUUCGCGAUCGGUAUCGAAAUUGAAUACGAAGCAUUUUAGCGAGAGUUUGCAUUGAGUUUAUGUUCGAAAAUACAGUAAAAGAUAUACUUGGACGGAUUUUGUAAGCAAAAGUAUCGAAUAAUAAAAAGUGACCUUGACAGAUUCGCUUGAUUUGUAAUUGAGUUGAAGAAACAACUCGCAUCAGAGCAGCCGUUCAAUGUUAUCGAUCAAUAUGCGCAUUUUUAAGACCGUGUUGCUCAUCGCAUCUUUCGCGAGCGUUCGGUGCUUACCCGUCACCGAGUCCACGGUCGGGACAACCGAAACCAAGGUUGAAGUCACUUCGCUGGUUCCGCAAGAAGAGACAGUCGCGACUACGACAAACGGACCGCUGCCCACGCCUGCCGACAUCACUGAUUAUUACGAUCAGCGGCAGAACGGAAGCGAGAAUUACCGCAUCCACGUAGACGGUGUGGUGCUUGUGUUCGCACCGGUCGAAGCGCUGCUUUUGGCUGGUGCCGCCAGCACUACCGAGCCUAAUUUAUCAAUAUCCAAUCUGUCAAACGCAUCCUCGUUACUAUCAUUCAACGAACUGACCAAACCCGGAUUUACUGGCAUCCAGAACAAAACCGAUCCGGCAAUUUCAAAAACUAUUAAUAAAUCGGGUUUACGAUUGAUGAAUUUCUUGACACCUUUAAUACGUCGCAUACGUCAUGAUCGAGUCACGAGCGUGCAUUGAACUCUUCAACACUCGCACCCUUGACACGCACAUUCUGCACACAGUAUAUAUUCGAAAUAUGGUAUUUUUUGUAUUCUCAAAAAUAAAUAAUCAUUGCGUGUAGGUCGAAAAAAACUUGUUUGCACAGAACACAGAUAUGAUUUUUUUAAGAUGAAAAUUAAAAACAAAUUAUGCAUUGCAGGGAUAGAAAUCUGCAUUUACAGGGAUGACGGUUAUGCAUACGUAAUAUAAGGUAUAUUUGAUCGAAGAUCGAUCUGAUGUCGUACCACAUCGCAUUUAUAUAGUGUCUAGUAUCUCAUCAAACAAAUUGAUUUAUUAAUGUAAUUAAGCAAAGUUUUUUUUGGCUCAUUUUAAAAUGGCUUUUUUAGUAUCUUAAGAAUAAUUUUGUUGACAUUUUUUCUUUAUAACAAAGCGCUCGAUUAAAUAAUAAUCUCCACAUAUAUCUUUAUAUAUAUUAGAAUAUUGUGAUUCUCUUGCAUCGGAGAGAGAAAACAAUUGAGAGCGUCGCGCUUGCAUGGUAAUAUUUAAUAUUGUGUUAUGUGUAUAUAAAAACAGUUAUGUAUACACGUAAUAUAUAAAUACGAUGCAUUUGUGUCUUGAUAUGAAAAUUUAUUUGAUUAAACGUUAAAAUACAUAUGCGUUUCUUUUUGGUAUAUCAUUACAAUAUCUCUGAUAAAAUGCUUAAAACUAUAUAUUCUUCGCGUCCCUGAAACCUUUCGCUCUUUGAUUAAAACAAAAAAAACCUCAUCUAAAAUUAUUACAAUACAUUUUAACUUUGGUUUCACUCUCUGAGCAACUUAGCUAAGUUCUAUGAGAACAAAUAUAAAUUCUAUAAAUUCCUACAAAUGGUAAUAUGUAUAUUUACAGGUUUAGAUAAAAGAAAACAAUUUUGUACGUCAAAAAGUACUCGUCUGAGAGUUUUGAUAUUCUAUAUUCAAUACUUUUAAUAAAAAUAAGUUGUAUACAACAAAUCAACUAGGAUUUUGGUAAGUAUUUUUAGGAAAAUCGGUUACUCGACACUUUCAUUGUAGUUCAUAAAGAAACAAAACCACAAAAAAAUUUGAAGAAACUAACAUAGAAUAUUUAAAGUCCUCAGAUGACGAUAUAUCUGCUACAUUUUGUCAAGCAUCUUUCUAUCAUUUCGUUCUGUAUAUUCUGAAACUUUUUUUUUUAUAAAAUAUUUCAUUAUUUUUUCUUAUUUGUCACAUUGUGAUUACAAUGAUAUAGAAGUAUUUUUAUGAUUGAAGACACAAGAUAAAAGACUCCAAAUCUAUAUUCUUUCUUAUUUUAAAUUAUGUCAUAAAAGUAUAUAUAUAUGUGUGUGUGUGUGUGUGUGUAUAUAUGUGUGUG